UCGAAAAUCAUUGGCAAGUUUAUCUCUUCUUGUUCCUCUUUCGACUCCGAAUAGAAGAGAACAGAUUAUGUUGAAUGUGAGGGUCUUCAUCAAUGGUAAAACCUGUCAGAACAGGAAAAAGAACACAUCAUAUCUAAUUUUCCCAGGUUAGACACCACAGUUUUCAAUGUUUUAUAACAUACCGUGACUUGUUGCUUGCCAUGCCAAUGCAUCUCAAGGUGAUUCCUGACUUCUUCAUCCAUCUUCCCAACAUACUGUUUCAAUGAUUCAGGUUUCAAGAAUGAAACAAGAGCAUCUCUAACUCGCUUAUGAUCUUCUCCGGUCAAUUCCAAGAUACAUCGAUCACCCAGAAUCGAACUAACCGACUUGACUUGCUGGUUAACAAUGUUGCUGCUGUCACUGGCGAAUACAAACUUGUUU
rnacentral:lncRNA from 1 species